GGCGCUGUGGCUUAGCUGGUUAAAGCGCCUGUCUUGUAAACAGGAGAUCCUGAGUUCAAAUCUCCUUUGUUU
rnacentral:tRNA from 1 species